CCCUUAGAUGUUCUGGGCCGCACGCGCGCUACACUGAUGCAUUCAACGAGUCUAAAACCUGCUCUGAUAGGGGUGGGUAAUCUUUUGAAUGUGCAUCGUGAUUGGGAUAGAUGAUUGCAAUUUUUCAUCUUCAACGAGGAAUGCCUAGUAAACGCAAGUCAUCAGCUUGCAUUGAUUACGUCCCUGCCCUUUGUACACACCGCCCGUCGCUCCUUCCGAUUGAAUGAUCCGAUGAAUAUCAUGGAUUGAGGAUGCAAGCAGGUUCGCCUGUCUUCAUCUUCGAGAAGUGAAGUAAAUCUUAUCAUUUAGAGGAAGGAGAAGUCGUAACA
rnacentral:rRNA from 1 species